UACGGGGGGGGCAAGCGUUGUUCGGAAUUACUGGGCGUAAAGGGCUCGUAGGUGGCCAACUAAGUCAUACGUGAAAUCCCUCGGCUUAACCGGGGAACUGCGUCUGAUACUGGAUGGCUUGAGGUUGGGAGAGGGAUGCGGAAUUCCAGGUGUAGCGGUGAAAUGCGUAGAUAUCUGGAGGAACACCGGUGGCGAAGGCGCUCUGCUAGGCCGUAACUGACACUGAGGGACGAAAGCUAGGGGAGCGAAUGGG
rnacentral:rRNA from 1 species